rnacentral:lncRNA from 1 species
AAUCAAAGAACCAAACAGUGGCGAAAGCAGAAAAGGAGUUUUAUUAUUAACAGUCUGAUUACCCUGCUGUAGACAAACACUGCUUACAGUGGUCUUAGUUUCUUUUUCUUUUUUUUUUUUUAAAGAUUUAUUUAUUUUAUGAAUAUGAGCACACUGUAGCUGUACAGAUGGUUGUAAGCCUUUAUGUGGUUGUUGGGAAUUGAAUUUUAGGACCUCUGCUCGCUCUGGCCCAAAGAUUUAUUUAUUAUUAUAUAUAAGUACACUGUAGCUGUACUUCAGACACACCAGAAGAGGAUGUCAGAUCUCAUUACGGAUGGUUGUGAGCCACCAUGUGGUUGCUGGGAUUUGAACUCAGGACCUUUGGAAAAGCAGUCAGUGCUCUUACCCACUGAGCCAUCUCACCAGCCCCGUGGUCUUAGUUUCUAACAGGAAAGAUGAACAGAAGCAAGCACUAAGAACUUUAUCAGUCCAUAUCAUCGUCUUGAUCUGACCGUGACCAGCCGUUUCCUUAGGGUCUACCAUGGUGGUGCCAAGAAAGUGUCUUGUUUAGGGGCUGUUUGGUUCACUGUCUUAACUCUGAUCCAAUAACUGUAAGGAAAAAGACUCCAAGUAAUUCAGAAAGAAACAGAACAAGAGGGAAAAACAAAGUGGGAAUUCCUUGGUCAGUGUCUGCUUCUUAAAUCCUUGCUGCUGAGCCAGCAACAUGGGUUGACUUGGCUCCAUUCUUGAUAUCUGGGGCUCACAUGGUGGAAGGGACUAACCCACUUGUGGAAUUUGUCCUCAGCUCUCCACUAAACAAACAAACAAAUGUUAAUUCAGAUCCCCACAGUCCAUGUCCUUGGAGAGAUGAAGUAGGACCCUAUACUGUGAUACUCUUGACCUCCAUGCUUGUUCAGUCUGCAUCUGCUGUUGAAGCCCCCUGCUGAAUGUUUUGUUUCUGUUACACUUCUUUUUUCUGAGAUUUAGCUGUACUUUUAUAAAGAUAUUACUACAUCUCUGUUGAUAGUCUAUGUUCUUUAAAUGUGGUGGCUUUGUUUGCUUUUUUGUUUGGUUUGGUUUACUUUGGCUUUCGAAGAUAGUGUCUCACAUGUAGCUUUGGCUACCCUGGAAUUUGUUAUUAUAAACUAAGAUGCCCCAAACUCACCGAGAACUGCCUGCCUCUACCUCCAAGCCCAGAUUAAAUGUGUUUUUAAUUGCCACUUUGAAGUAUGAUGGCACUGCCAGGUGGUACUUAUGCCCAUUUUGGUGAAUGAGUACUCAAAUUAUCAAUCAGUUACGUAAGGAAAACACUUGGAUCAAAUAACUGUCAGAAGAGCUACUUAGGGCAGUGGUGGUGAAUGCUGUUUUAAUCCCAGCAUUUUGGAGGCAGAGGUAGAUGAGUCUCUGAGUUCUAGGACAGCCAGGGCUGCACAGAGAAGAAACUGAUGUCCAGUCGCUGUCAAAUAGGACUGCUUCCUCUUUACUGUUUUUAACUUUGUUUUGUUAUCUUUAAGAUGGGUCCGUUUCCUUUGACUAUCUCAUAAUCUAGAUGUCUGAGAAAUCACAUCAUGACUGACCCUUCUGGGCACUGAUCCUCACCCUCCACAUAAGUAGCAACUUAUUAACCUAUUUGCUUACUUGGGUGAUUAAUGACUAGCCAAAUUCUGUUGUUGUUGUUGUUGUUUUUCUCCUUUCUAUGGGUGUUGUGAAUUAGACUCCAAGACUUGUACAUUCUAGACAAGCACUCAACCACUAAGAUACACAUUCCUAGGAUGAGCCAAAUUCUUUAGAGAUGUAUCUACUAGUGAAGUCUCUUUCAUCCCUGUAGUGAGAGUCUGAUGCUGUCCUUUUGAGCAAGGAACCCUUUGGCAUAUUACUGUGACCCUGAGAUUCUAUGAAGCACCUGGAGUGGUUUUAAGUCACCUAUCUUUUCUUAGCCACAGAGAAACCCUGUCUCAGAAAAGAAGAACCUAGCAACAUUCUUAGCAUAAAAUAUUGGGAAGAAAAGUAACAAUCUUUUUUCUUUUUUUUUUUCCGAGACAGGGUUUCUCUGUGUAGCCCUGGCUGACCUGGAACUCACUGUGUAGACCAGGCUAGCCUGGAACUCAGAAAUCCGCCUGCCUCUGCCUCCCAAGUGCUGGGAUUAAUGGCGUGCACUACCACUGCUCGGUUGACAGUCUUUUUCAAGGUUACAUUUAUUCUUUUGUUUAUUUAUAUGUUCUGGCAUGCAUGUGUCCCAUACAUGUCAAAGUCUGAGGACAACUUUCUUGGGAGUUAGGCUUUCUUCCUCCAUCAUGUGGGUUGCAGAGAUAGAACUGAAGUCCCUCUAUUUGGCAGGUAGUGAGUACUUUACCCAUUGAAGCCAUCUUGCCAGCCCUGUCGCACCAUCCUUAGAGAAGCUGAAUGAUCAUGGCAAAAUGACCUCAAAGUUAGUGAGCGUAGUAAGGAGGAUGGGAGGCAAGAUACACAAAAAAGUGGCAGCUCUAACAGUGGCCAAAAUACUGUACAAGGGGCAGUUGUGAGUUCAGGAACUUGCUUAUCAGAUAUUUGAAACUUACUGCAAAGCCAAUACAAUUU